rnacentral:rRNA from 1 species
UACGAAGGGGGCUAGCGUUGCUCGGAAUCACUGGGCGUAAAGCGCACGUAGGCGGCUUGUUAAGUCAGGGGUGAAAUCCUGGAGCUCAACUCCAGAACUGCCUUUGAUACUGGCAAGCUUGGAGUCCGGGAGAGGUGAGUGGAACUGCGAGCGUAGAGGUGAAAUUCGUAGAUAUUCGCAAGAACACCAGUGGCGAAGGCGGCUCACUGGCCCGGUACUGACGCUGAGGUGCGAAAGCGUGGGGAGCAAACAGG